GACAGAGGGUGCAAACGUUGUUCGGAAUUACUGGGCGUAAAGCGCGUGUAGGCUGCUCUGUGUGUCGGAUGUGAAAGCCCCGGGCUCAACCUGGGAAGUGCACUCGAAACUACAGAGCUGGAGUCUCGGAGAGGAUCGCGGAAUUCUCGGUGUAGAGGUGAAAUUCGUAGAUAUCAAGCGGAACACCGGUGGCGAAGGCGGCCUUCUGGACAGUGACUGACGCUGAGACGCGAAAGCGUGGGGAGCAAACAGG
rnacentral:rRNA from 1 species